GCUCUCUAGUUUUGUGCUUACCAAAUUUAUCCGGUUUAUCAUCGAAGUUUUAAAUAAACCAUCAGAGACAAGUAGAGACUAGAAAGUAGGCGUGAAAAAAUGUCCCAAAAAUCGCUGUAUUUCGGUCUCUUUGCUAUGUUUGUUGAAUUAUCCCAAAGCUUAUGUUGCCAUGUCGUUUUAUUUAUAGCAUGUAAUGCAAAAAUAAUGGUUUUGUUUCCUUAUCUAAUCCAUUGACGAAAAACCGCACAUGGUGUUGCCAUUUGGGAGUUGAUAAUUAACGGCACCGCUGCUUGCUGCAAUCGCUAACCCUACUUAUGCCUUAUUUUGACGGCUACCCAUAUAAACAUUAAUAUAUAUGUUUUUUGUUUGAGAUUAUUGAGUUUUGUGAUUUGUGGUUUGAUAUCGAAUGCGUGAUUGUGGUCAGUUCUUAGUUUGUGGCGUGUUUUUAGUUGUUGGUGGGUUCUGUUCGGCACGCUUUGUUUAUGUUGCAUGGCUUUUGUUACUGGGGUUUUCGGUAUAUCGGGUUUUCGUCUGUAUAAUGCUAGGAAAUUUGUACAGUAUAUUAAUUUAGUAAGAUGCCCAUGCCAGCAAGCAGCUAAUAUGGAGAGAAUUUGUCGCAAAGUUUCGUUGGUAAGAAUCCAACACUAUCCAGGGUAUCGGACUACUGGGUGUCUUCGCGAAGAUGUUGAUCCUCCAGCAGCCGGGCAAAAAAAUAAACAGAAAGUUGUAGAUUUUUUUAGUUGACAGGUAAAAGUUUUUUUUAUGUGCAUUGAUUGAUUGUCUUAGUAUUAGGAUUAUUCCUGUUAAACAAUAAACAAUUGAAUUGAA